GACAGAGGGUGCAAACGUUGUUCGGAAUUACUGGGCGUAAAGCGCGUGUAGGCGGCAGGGCAUGUCGGAUGUGAAAUCCCGUGGCUCAACCACGGAAGUGCACCCGAAACUGCCCAGCUUGAGUCUCGGAGAGGAAGGCGGAAUGCUUGGUGUAGAGGUGAAAUUCGUAGAUAUCAAGCGGAACACCGGUGGCGAAGGCGGCCUUCUGGACGAUGACUGACGCUGAGACGCGAAAGCCAGGGGAGCAAACGGG
rnacentral:rRNA from 1 species